UACGAAGGGGGCGAGCGUUGUUCGGAUUUACUGGGCGUAAAGGGCGCGCAGGCGGCUCAUUUGUCAGGCGUGAAAGCCCCGGGCUCAACCUCGGAACUGCCUUUGAUACUGGGGACUCUCGAGUCGGGAGAGGUGAGUGGAACUGCGAGUGUAGAGGUGAAAUCGUAGAUAUUCGCAAGAACACCAGUGGCGAAGGCGGCUCACUGGCCCGGUAC
rnacentral:rRNA from 1 species